rnacentral:rRNA from 1 species
UACGUAGGGACCGAGCGUUGUCCGGAAUUAUUGGGCGUAAAGAGCUCGUAGGCGGUCUGUUGCGUCCGCUGUGAAAACUCGGGGCUUAACCCCGAGCCUGCAGUCGAUACGGGCAGACUAGAGUGCGUGUAGGGGAGACUGGAAUUCCUGGUGUAGCGGUGAAAUGCGCAGAUAUCAGGAGGAACACCGGUGGCGAAGGCGGGUCUCUGGGCAAUAACUGACGCUGAGGAGCGAAAGCGUGGGGAGCGAACAGG